AUUAAAUUCAAAGGCCAGCUUCCCUUCCAUUCAAUUUAGAUGACUUGUGCAAUGCAAGUAAUAUUUGAAAUUAAUCAUUAAUGAACAAAAUGGCACAGAAACAGAAACCACAAUGGUGACAUUGGCAGUACCUGUUUUUUGCCACUUCCUCAACCAUCAUUCAAGAUAUAAUUUAAUCCUAACAUCAAUUCAUUUGGGUUUCCUGUUGGGGGGUUG
rnacentral:misc_RNA from 1 species